GUCCCUGUAGUGUAGUGGCUUAGCACACCUGACUUUCUAUCAGGUACCCCGGGUUCAAAUCCCGGCGGGGAUGCCA
rnacentral:tRNA from 1 species